ACAAUGCGGUAAAGAGCAGUGGCUAACGCAGCAUAUACUAUGGCCAAUUGAUCUAGCAUAGAUUCUCUUCCCAUUACGGUUUGUAGUAGCAAAUUGGUGAUGGUAGACGUGACUGAGUGUCUUGAAUUUUCCAUGUAAAGGACUUCAAUCUCCUUAAUAAUUGAAGAAAUAUUUGCGAUAGACAAUUUGUUUAGCGAUCCUUGUAAUUUCCGACGAAGUCGCAGAGCAUCUUCUGACUCCUUAUCUCCCCCUAAUUUUUUCCGUAAAGAUGGAGGGACAUACUUUGAGCCGACGUUCGCAUUAGGUAAGGAUGGGACUGCAGGCUUCAAAGGAUCCAUCCGAAUCGGCUUAGUUUCAGGUUGAUGGAAUUCAUCAGAAUUAGACUCAAACCCAUGAAACUCUUCCUCCUCCUCACCCGAAUUUCCUUCCCUUUCACUUUCCAACUCAUCAACGCUACCAUGGUCACCUGUAUCGUCUGAAACUUCAGAGUCUUCUGAAUGACCAUAUGAAGGAUCUUCAGUGCCCGGAACGCCUAUGUCAUCAAUUUCUU